rnacentral:misc_RNA from 1 species
GGAGACCUUCUCUGGAAAUAAAGAACUAGGAGAACUGAAUAUUAGCUAAAGAAUAUUUUAUAGAGCCAGUUCUGGCUAAACAUACCCAGUGGUCCAACAUCUCCUUAGCAACUUUUUUCAGCUCCAUGACAGAAAGCUACAGGCUUGGAGUAGACACUGGAGCCAUGAAUAAUUUUCAAUAUCCACGCAUGUCAGAGUAUCAAUUCCG